GCUGGGCAGGGCACAAACAGAAUCUGGCUUGUUUCCUAUGGGAUCCCACAGCUUCCAUGCAGGUUCAGCUUCUUCCAUGACACAGUACAGAAAAUAUUUUUGCUAAUAUGUCAUUUGUGGUGUGUGCUUGAAUCAACGAAACAGAGAAAUGAAGGCUUCUGGUGGCAGAAAAUUAAAAUACAAUUUUUGAGGGUUUUUUUUACUCUUUCAAGGGGAUCGAAAAAAGCAAAACCCAACGAUCCUUUUCCACAACAGGGGUGGGGAAUGAAAAAACUCAACAUUCAGACAACUUCAAAAUGCAAACUCUUCCUCAAAGCCAUGCGGGUGAUGCCAUAGGAGAAAGCAGCUCCCGCAGAAAGCGCUCAUGGCCCCCGGCCUCCCCACCUCGGCCUGGUGGGCAACUUCCGAGAGGCCAUAAAACACACCAAAUAAAGCCCAGCUUUGGAGAACCUGGUUUAUUUUUACCAUGUUCUUUUUGGUCUUAUCUUCUACCUUACUACUAUGCAGUUCCCAUUACAAAUCCCCUGUGAAGGCCUCCAAAUGGACAUUUAACGCUAAGCUUAGCUGAGACCCAACAACAAACUCCAAACCUUUCUGAAAUAAAGGGGUUUUUUCAUGUGUGUGUUUUGGGGUUUUUUUAAACAAUCUGCAGAACAUCUUUCCUCAUGUUCCUGCCCAGGAAACUCACCUCCCUUUAACGAAAGCCGUAUUUCCUUCACACAAGCUAUUUGAAAACCACAAGGAACGAAGCCCAAACUUCACCACCUUUCUGCUCGUUUUUCACAGCACCUGACAGAUGGUGCCAUGCACAAAAAUUCUCACAAGCGUUUAACGCCCGCAGGCGUUCACAGGCUCCAGUGUUUGUCCCCAGACGCUCACAGCAACGUGGGUAAGAGACCCACCUCUCGAGGUGGACACAACUGGUUUUGCCUUUUCCACCCUGCCAGCUGAGACAGGACAAGACUUGAGUGACAAAGUUCUUCCAGACAUACAAUUUCAGAAGAAUUCAGCGUCAUGAAGACCUUAAUAAUUGCACAGCGUCACAAAAUUGGCCAUUUCCACUUAAAAUAAAAGCCGUACGAGGAUCUCCACUUUGCUAAAACCCCUGAGAAAUACUACAGAAAUUGCAAGAAACAUUUCUUCAGACAAUAACAAACUGCCCUUGGUUGUUCCAGACAAAUUCCACUUUAGAAAGGAAAAAAUGAAUAGGAAAUUUGGUAAAUCCAUCCAGGGAUGACAAGCCAGAAUUUACUGCCCAGGGUAUGGAGGUGCAAAUAAAUCUCUGCCUGGUCUGGGUGUGUGAAACCCGAAUACGCAGCACAGCCUGGGUGAGCACCUUGCCAGGAAAAAGGGGCGAGGUAGCUUUCCCUCCCCACCGGGUAAGAGGGGCUUGCGUAUUUAUGUUGCUAAAUUCAGAGUGGGUUAAAAAUUAAACAGAAGAAUCCAUUUGUGCUUUAAAAGGCUUCAAGGCCAGGCGGGGUUUUGCUUUACAAACUAAAGGUAUGGUUAAAUGUUUAUGAAUAUCUAACUCAUUGUUCAGAAACAUCUGAAACUCCUUUCUGAUCCUUCAAAAUGAAGUAUGAUCCACCAGAUUCUACUACUUGCUCUACUAAAUUUGAAUUUACUGUAUUAAUAAGAAAAGUUUAUUUCCCUUUCCUCGCAGAGCAUCAUCUAGUUUUCCAUUACUACAACUAGAAAUUGCCAAGAAAAUGAAAUGCUAAAGCACAGCAGACACUGCUUAUCUUCUGAUUAAAUCUUGAAACUUUGUUCCAGUGGGAUCAUAUUUAGUCUUCUCAAAUGCAGAGCAGUAUUUCAUCCUGUCUCGACAUUCCAACAAUGACAUUUUAAAAAUAUUACGAGUUUCUUGGACCACCUUCUAUCCACUCUGCAACGAGCAAAUGCACACCAGAGAUAUUCUUUUACUUCCCAGCUUGGGAUUUUUUUUAAACCUUAAAUAUAACCAGGCCUCCUUUCAAUUCAUCUUCUCUAGGAUAGGGUUUGUGUUUUUUUGAGACCUCUGGAAGUCUCACCAAUGUUUUUUAAGCAGUAGUAAGUAUGAAGAUCUUUGGCAAAAGGUUGUCUUUAUCUAAGCAUUAAGAUAUCAUCAAAGAGAGAGGUGUUGGAAAUAAACAAGGCUUUCAAGCAGCCUAAAAGUUUUUUCAAAUAUUCUAGAGGUGCGCCUCUCUCCACCAGCCAAGCCAGGACCUGGAUUUUUAAAUCCAGGAGAAAAACAAUAAUUAAAAGAAGUAGUAAAUAAAUCUUUGCACGGUUCUCUAGACAUUGUGGUGGGGGAUAUCAGAAGAGGAGAAACUGAUUCCCUCAUCGUCACUUCUGCACACCCUCCCCAGUGUCAGCCCAUCGAACCCUUCCAGAAGGUCCAACAUUGGAGCAGGGUCAGGAGAAUGAGCAAGCUGCUGCGUGGUGUUUAGCUGCUGACUGGGGCUGAACCACAACACCGAUAUACUUAUUUACUUAAUGGAUAUUUUCAGUUUUGGAAAAGAACUGGUAUGUGAAGGAAACACUUCCAACUCUGGAAACCCUUCACCAAACAGAGCAUAAAACAUUUCCAGGUACAAUGGCAGCUUGUUGGUUUCCGGUCUUAGGGUGAACUUACGCUUAAAAAGCUAAAUACCUCAGAGACAAUUCAACCUGAAUUUUCAAAUUAUUAAAAGAAAUCCAGUGCUUCGCUCUAGUACUCUUCUUUUUUCCUCCUGUACAUAGUUGAUGAAGUCACACAAAUACAGAACUACCGCAGCUAUCACAGAACCAAGGACACGGGUGGAUCUCUAGGACAUGCAUACUUGGAUUUGUUUGGGGUUUUUUAAUUCUUCCAGGUCUGCCCUUUGUGCUGCAAGGCAACAGUGGGAAAGGAAUGGCAAAGCAACACAUCAACCUUUUCAGUGUUAGUGGCAGCAGGGAAUGGGAGGAAACUGGACAAUAACACUCAUCAUUUCCCAGCACUUUAAAAUAUAUCCUUGUAUUAAGUAGUUGGACCUUCAAAUUUGCUUAUUCCCUCACUUAAGGAAGUAAAAUAUUUGCCCCAUUCUCCAACUGCACAGCCAGGGACGUAGCAAGGCCUCGUCUCCAUACACCCCCACUUUGCCCAGCCAGCACCUCAGGGACGCUGCCCAGAGCCGCCAUGGAAAAUAAUUAACAACAGCAACAGCAUUCCCUGCCGAUCUGUUUCAUGCCAACUUCAUCUUUUUACGUUUCACGCCAGUUUACUUCUACGUCAAUGAGUAACGCUUUGCCACGCAACGCGUAUUUGCACAGCCCGGGCUCACAACUCCUCGCCGUGCCUCAGAAAACAACCCGCAAAACCCAAGGGACAGUCGCUUUGGGCCGGGCAACAACCGGCCGUGACCUUACCUGUCGCUGCUGGUACUGCUGCUGCUGCUGAUGGAGUCGCUGCUGGAAGAUCUGCUCCUGGAUCCGCUGCCGCUGGGGGAGCGGGUGGGUCUGGACGCCUGGCUGGCCAGCCUCUGCGGGGACUGCGUCCUGGACUGGGACGAAUGCGGCGACCGACUCCUGCUGUGCUGGUAAUUCCUCUCUGGCCUUCUGCCUCGUACCUCCCGUGUAAUAUCAUCCCUGUAGAUAUCCCUGUGUACCACACUGGGCAAUGUAAACUGCUCCCGGGCCCUAGGUUCGUAACGGGGGUCGUGAGCAUCAAAACGGUUUGGACUUCGACUCCGAGAAGUAUAAUAGAGCCCGUGUUGUAAAGUCCGCUCUCGAGGAUCUCUAUAGUAAUCCUGAUCGUAAUGUCUUGUCCGAUCAAAUCCUCCCGUCCCCCGCUCAUGGUGUCCAUAGGCACUAUGUUCAUAAGCACGCUCCCUGUUAUCUGAAGCCCUGCAUUUAGGAAGGGGGAAAAAUAUUUCAUCAGAGAGGGGCAAGCACAACUAAAAGCAAAUCAUGCAAACAUUCAUGUCAGCACUGAACUUGUUUUUGCGACUGCUUCUCCACUAAACAGCAAUAACCUAUCAAGCAAACACUGACAAACUUAAAAACAUUUUACUUGACUCCAAAGUUAUAAUCGUAUACGAUAAAGCUGAGCAAUUAUUUCAUUUUAAUCACAAUAUCGGGCUUUCAUGACCAGCGUCUUGCCUGCACGGGAAAAAAAUGCUGCUUUCCAGUGCAGAAUCCUCAUUUAAGUGGUGCUUGGUUUUUUUUCUUUUUCUUUUAAAUUCAGUAAACAAGAAAAACUUCAUGUUUGUGGACAUCAUAAUUAACUCCCCCCCCCCUCCAUUUUUGCUUAAGAGCUUCAAAAAAAUUUUCUGGAAUUUGGUAAUUACUGGAGCUCUUCUAAUUAUCCUUCUGCAAAAAUGGCAUUGCAAAUCGGGCUGUAGCCAUGAAAGCCUCCGUGCAAAGCAUGACCCAGAGGUAAGAAGCUGCUUUCAAAAGGGGUAGCAUAACCCAUAGAGAAGGCCCAGAAAAUCAGGGGGUUUCUUGUGGUUGUUCUCAUCCUAUAUAUUUCAUCCUCUUAGAGGGAAUUUUGCUUUUAUCGGGCUGCUACACUUGAUGCUCAUCAAAGCUGCGUACCCUCAGGAAACUUCUCGAUUACUCAUGUCAGAAUACUUAAACUGCAAGGGCGCAGGCCCCAAAAAGAUGCUAAGACCCUAGGCAAGGAGUAUAAAUCACAUUUUUCGGUAGGUGUUUUUGUCUGUUGAGACUGCUAUUGUUACUGCAAUCACAGAACGUCUGCCUUCGCAAGCACGCUACCCGCACGUAGCUGAGGUCCAUUUUGUUUCAGUAUUUCCAACAUUGUGUAAGUCAAUUGAGAAAGGCUCUAUGUUCUACGAAAGUUAGCGCAAUCUCUCAAAUAAAGAGAUAGUAAAACUGGCAGAUAAAGUUAAACAAACAUUACGAAUAGUUUUGUAGUCUAAUUUAGACAAGUACUGGGACAGUACGGCUAAGUUACAUCCGCAAAAUAGAAAAAUUAUUACAUUGAAUGGUUGAAAAAUACUUGCAAAAUUCUAAAUAUGUCAGGGUAGUCAAAGUUAAUUUAAAACUUUAAUUAUCCAUCUUAUGAAGGACAUUUCAACCUUUUUUUCCAGCCUUCUCUCUCAGAUUCUUCCUUCAGAAUCCAUUAUUAGUCACUUCAAUCCCCCAAAUCCUAAUAACCCAAUUCUGCCUUGCGCUUCCUCCUCCUCCUCUCCUGCAUCACGAGUCUGUCUUCCAUUUAAAAUGGCAGAAGUAUUUCAGGUAUCUUUUAUAAACUGAAAAUGGAAUUCGCAUCUUUUUUGAUUAGCAUCUCAGGAAGUUACUUCCAUUUCUUCUCCAAUGAAUCACUAGGUCCUUUAUCCCCUAAAUAUAUUCAUCCUCUGUUGUUCAAUUAGAACUCAUUUUCAAGCUUUCUACAGAGCUAGCUCAUGUUUUUGCCUGCAUUUUUCCUCUCAAAUUAUAUAUAAGAAACUACCUAACCAGUGCAACAGAAUGUCAUUAACUUAUAUAUCUGCUUGAAAUUCAUUGUUGCCUUUCUAUUUUUAUUAUCUCUUGCUCACAACAAUGGCAUUUUGAAAGAUAUUUCAGGAUCUGGCACAGAAACAUGUCUUUCCUUCCCCCCCCCCCCCCCCCUUUUGAAGGACCAAGAUCAACAAUUUCAUCAACGAUUGCAUUUAGCAUCCUACAAAGUGUUAAUCAGUGAAAGCUGAUUUAAUGAGGUAAGAGAAAAAGCAGUAUUUUCUAGAGGGUUACUGCUAUAUAGCUGACAUAAAAGAACAAAGUCCUUAUCCAUGAAAAGGACACAGACGACAGACAGAGGAACUAGCAGAGCUGAAAAUCUAAUGGCUACAGUGCUUUUUUGAUUUAUCUAUUAGUACUAAGUGCUACUGGAGUUAGUGGAAAGAGAGGGUUUGACUUGGGUUAGGAGAGGGGCUAAUAUACACAGGGCAGGACAUACCAACCUUUUCCAAGUGUGGAAACACGACCUAUAUUCCCAAUUAAAUCUAGGGAGAGAAUUGUGAACAUAACUUCCCCAAUUUUGGCCCCUCUUACAGGGGUAAUCCACCUUCUUAAUGGGCAAGGGUGUCAAAUGAUAUUUUAGAUGAACCAACAAGAAAAAAAAAAUCUUAGUGACAAGACAAAAAAAAAAUUCCACUGGAAGGAAGUAGUCCCAGACUGAAACCAUAACUCUGAAACCCCCAGACUUCUUUCUUGAGACAGAAGGCACUUAAAUAGAUCCAUUAUUUUAAUUUCCAGCCCUAUGUCUGAAUCAAGCAGCUGGUAGAAGAUCACCCAAUGCACGAGGGCACUCGGCGCUGCUGGCCAGCAGGCAUCCUCUAGCCGCCUUUGUAACCAUCCAGCCCAGUCAUUUCUCACUGGCGUAUCCACAAACUGGUAUUAGUGCCACGUCCUUAAAACUAAAGUAUGUUUAAUGUGGAGUAGCAAAGAGCUUUUUUAAGAGACUAGAUAGUAAUCCACUCCCCAUGGCUACUGGCGUCUUGACUGUAUACCAUCCAAUAAAUUCAAGGCAGUAGUUCUUAUCCCAGCAUUUAAAAAAAACACACUAUAAUUUCCAAAAUUUAGUAAUGUCCAUCAUCUCUUUUUGCCAAUACCAUCAGAAAGAAUAAUCCCAAUAACUUGGAAAUGAUGUAGAUCCAAAAUGGAACCAUCACAAGCUGCCUUCGGUCUUCUCCAUCCAAGCGUUAUUUCCAUGGCUAAAAGUUGUCUGUAGAAUCCAAGGGGCCGCAUCAUUAAAGUCUACUAGAAAUUUUGUGAUGACAAUCCAAUUAACAUACCAACUGCGUACAGUGAGAACUGAGAGCUAGGCAGCGAGCUUUCACAGCAUUUUAGGUUCUAGUAUUCCGAAGAUACUCCACAGAGAACUUCACCACAUGUUGUAGAGUAAGAUAGCUCCAUCUGGCAGCAGGGAUACAUCCGAGCAAGGCCUUAAUAUUAUCCAAGAAAUGGAAUCGUUACUUCUAGAAAAGAGUAACUCCAAUAUCGAUGCUGGCCAAAGGAAAUCUUCCAUCUUAAAACCACCUUACUUCAAGUGUAGAUAUCCAACCAGCUGCAGAAAACAUCCUCUAUGGAUCCACAAGGUACCAGCCACUGGGAUAGAAAUCACUUCCGUUUCCAACCCAAAAUAGGAAACAUAGAUAAUUCCCAAAAUUUUAAAUCCAUCUGGGGGCCCUAGAUAUGAGUUUGUGUUUCUCACCAUAUCAAAUACAAAAUACCUGCCUAGAGAAACCUUGGAACUUACCCAUCAAGUCUCCGCUCAUAACGUCCUUCCCGUGCAUGAAGUGAUGGUGGGGGACCGUAAGUGGGCCCCCCCCCACCUCCUCUGAACCCAGAAACCUCUCUACUACGAGAUGCUAUGGAAACUGUAUCAUCCAAUCCCCGAGCAGCACUGGGAAUGGUUCCUGGUUCAUUAUAAUCCGUCCGUAGGUCUCUAUCUCCCAUUUUGUUGACAGAGUUGUGUGCCUUCUGCGCACUUUUGAUGUCCACAAAAUCCACAAACGCUGCCACUCCGCCUUCCGACCCCCUCUUAGGGAGUAUUUUGACGCUUUCGACACGUCCAUAUCUGGAAGAAAAGCAAAGCAGAGCACGUAUGUUAGUGCUGGUAGAAAAUGACUGUGUUUAAUAACAUCGCCUCGUGCAAAAUCAACACCAGUUUCAAACCCUUUGCCCUUCCCACAUGGCAGGAAAAUCAAUCUCAAAGCACAGCAGAGGUUGGCAGGUGUGUCUUCAAAAAGUAGAGGGGAAAAGCCAUUUACACCUUCUCAUAGUAAUUAUCUCUCAACUCAACUCAAGCUGUACUUGAAACUCCUCUCUUUUGGUUAGCCUACCACGAGAUUGCCCUUUUUAUAACAACAGAGCAACAGCAGCCAAAGAAAUAGAAAGGUAUUUGCAAUUAGAGCAGCCCUCCUCAUUUUUAAUCUGACGAGCAAGACAUAAUUAAAACCAAACUGUGUCACAACAAGCAAAAAUAAAGACAUCCCAACAAUUUUCUCAAGAAAAAAAAUGACCUUGACAUAGCAAUUCCACUACUCCGAUCUAUGUUUAAUCCAUUCAGCGCCAAAACCAGACACUUCAUUCUGAUCCUCGUUCCUGAUCUCAGACCCAUUUAUUCACAACUGUCUCGAAGGGCGCUUUUGAAGCGUGGCUGACACGGGCCCCCCCGGACUGGGCUGCUUCCGGGGUUCAGGUUUACGCCCCCCCGGCCACAGACCAAGCUACGCAACAGGACACUGAGGAAAGCCGACGGGAACGUGACACCACCCUACUUAAUGUAUGUCAAAUUAAGUAAUUGCAACACAGGCGCUUACGGAUGAGUAAAUGUCUACGUAAAAAAUAAAUACAAACAAACAUGUUUGUGCACAUGAGAAAACACGCUGUAAAAGUGCUUUUAAAUAACUUGCGUCAACUCAUAGCAGAAAGGAUAAAGCGGAAAGUACAAACACAGCAAUGUUUUAAAACGGCUGAGAACUGCAGGUUGUGUUUUGGGUCCUCAUCUCUCUCACCCAAGGGCUUUAACUGCAGCUGUUAAUCCAUGACAAAAGAGGCAAAACACGUAUUUUUGAGUGCACUGACAAAUGGGAAAGGGGCACACACAAAUAAAAAAACUAAUCAAGAAAUAUUUGUAAACUCUAUGAAGAAUUACUGCAAAAAAUCUUUCGAUUCACAAAGGCAGCACAACGCUGAACAGAUGUAAACAGACCUUAAAAAAGAAAAGCUGUUUUCAGCUACACACAGGAAAAAGCUAACACAGCUGCCUGCGGAGCAAUGCUGUCAGCACCUGCACCUGACCGUUUUGUGCCUGCCACCUUUGUACCGGCGGGGACAGCACAGUGCCAUGUCAUUCUCUGGAGUUUCCUGACCUGUGACACCAAACUGGUCAUUUUUUAUUCUCAUUAAAAGCUGCAAGGGGCAAAUAACAGCAAAUGGCACUGAAGGAAAGAGAAUUCUCAAAGUCUGCACUCUGCUAAGGCUGGAUCAGGUUAUCUUACCUUGAAGGCAAGACUCAGAAAAAACAGAAAAGUAGAGGAUAUGGUUAAUAAAGCCUAUGUGGUGAAAAAAAUGGCCUAAUUGGAUGUGGCACAUGUAAAGAGAGAAGAAACAAAUAAGGAAGAAGGUGGAAGGAAAACAGGAAAGAGCCUGCUUGAAAAAAUGUUCACGCCAUGAAUGAACGUGACAAAAAAAUAUGAAAAAUAACUGGGUGCCCGAGUCAGCAUCACCCUUUAACAGGAGUUUCGGUGCCGGUUCUCUACAGACAGCAAGGGAAAGGUGUAACCCGACAGAGUGCUCUAACUCUCACAUCCGUUGAGUUUUUCUUCUAAAUAACGUAGUUACAGAAGUGACUGGUUAGAACACGGACUUCCCUUUCGUUCAGUGUUUACACAUUUGGUUUCUGGCAACACAAGCCCAUAUUUUGUCUACAGUCUUCAGGGGGGAAAAAAAAAUAGUGUCUUAGCACUGCUCCGAAAACCUAAGAUCCUAAUGGAGCUUUCCGACUGCAGUCACCACAGCCUACUCAGGAUGAAGUGCUGCCUGCCAGUUACGUCAGAAAUGGGCUCUGAAAGACUCUUCCCACUCACCAUCCUGACAAUUCUUUUAUUUCCUCAUUCCGAAAUCAUAACACGUACGUGUUAUUAUAACAUACGUGCAGACCCCAACUAUUUUUCUUCUGCUGUAGAUCCAGAAAUGCAUUAAAAUGUUCAAAUAUUUGAGCUAAUGCUGCCCAGAAAGAGCAGAAGAUACAGAACAUUGACGUGAUAUGCUCCCCAGGUAUCAAUAAAAUCACCCUUCAAACACACAA